rnacentral:tRNA from 1 species
GCAUUUGUGGUUCAAUGGCAGAAUUCUCACCUUCCAUGUGGGAAACUUGAGUUUGAAUCCUGGCUAAUGUA